ACGACCACAGGGUGUGGAGAACAGGGCUUCCCGUCCGCUCAGCCGUACUUAAGCCGCACGCGGGCAGAUUAGUAGUAGAGUGAGUGACUAGUUUGCUCGGCU
rnacentral:rRNA from 1 species